AGUGAACGCUGGCGGUAGGCCUAACACAUGCAAGUCGAACGGCAGCACAGUAAGAGCUUGCUCUUACGGGUGGCGAGUGGCGGACGGGUGAGGAAUACAUCGGAAUCUACUUUUUCGUGGGGGAUAACGUAGGGAAACUUACGCUAAUACCGCAUACGACCUACGGGUGAAAGCAGGGGAUCUUCGGACCUUGCGCGAUUGAAUGAGCCGAUGUCGGAUUAGCUAGUUGGCGGGGUAAAGGCCCACCAAGGCGACGAUCCGUAGCUGGUCUGAGAGGAUGAUCAGCCACACUGGAACUGAGACACGGCCCAGACUCCUACGGGAGGCAGCAGUGGGGAAUAUUGGACAAUGGGCGCAAGCCUGAUCCAGCCAUACCGCGUGGGUGAAGAAGGCCUUCGGGUUGUAAAGCCCUUUUGUCGGGAAAGAAAAGCAGCAGGUUAAUACCCCGCUGUUCUGACGGUACCCAAAGAAUAAGCACCGGCUAACUUCGUG
rnacentral:rRNA from 1 species